rnacentral:rRNA from 1 species
UGCGAGUCGAGAGGGUUCGGCCCUCGGCUGACGGCUCAGUAACACGUGGAUAAUCUGCCCUAAGGUGGAGGAUACCCUUGGGAAACUGAGAAUAAUACUCCAUAGGUCUAGGAGGCUGGAAUGCAUCUAGGCUCAAAACUCCGGUGCCUUAGGAUGAGUCCGCGGACUAUCAGGUUGUAGUCAGGGUAAUGACCUGACUAGCCUUCGACGGAUACGGGUUGUGAGAGCAAUAACCCGGAGACGAUAUCUGAGACACGAUAUCGGGCCCUACGGGGCGCAGCAGGCGCGAAACCUUCACACUGUGCGAGAGCACGAUGAGGGAAUCCCAAGUGCUGGCACGUAAGUGUCAGCUGUUUCUUUGUCUAAAAAACAGAGAGAGUAAGGGCUGGGUAAGACGGGUGCCAGCCGCCGCGGUAAUACCUGCAGCCCAAGUGGUGACCGCUAUUAUUGGGCCUAAAACGUCCGUAGCCUGUUUGGUAAAUGCCUGGGUAAAUCGUGUGGCUUAACCAUACGAAUGCCGGGUAGACUGCCAGGCUUGAGACCGGGAGAGGUCAGAGGUACUCCUGGGGUAGAGGUGAAAUUCUGUAAUCCUAGGGGGACCACCAGUGGCGAAGGCGUCUGACUAGAACGGGUCUGACGGUGAGGGACGAAGCCCUGGGGCGCAAACCGGAUUAGAUACCCGGGUAGUCCAGGGUGUAAACGCUGCUCGCUUGAUGUUAGCUAGGCUCCGAGCCUCGCUAGUGUCGGAGAGAAGUUGUUAAGCGAGCUGCCUGGGAAGUACGGUCGCAAGGCUGAAACUUAAAGGAAUUGGCGGGGGAGCACAGCAACGGGUGGAGCGUGCGGCUUAAUUUGGAUUCAACGCCGGAA